ensembl:lncRNA
GCUUAUAAUACUGGAGGAAAAAGAUAACACCUGAUAAACAGGUUUAUCUAAAAGCCUUGGUUAGCCCUGCAGUUUUUAAGCAAUCUUUAAAUUGCACAUUAAUGGAUGCGUUAAUGAAAGAAUCUUAUAUUCAUCUAGUCUUUUUCUUUGUUAUGGUGAGUGGAGAGGGUUAAUCAUAGUAUUCACAAUCAGAAUUUUGACUAGUUCCACUGAAGCUUCUAAAGAUUUCUUUCACUAAACGUGAACAUUUUUUGUAACAGUUAAUUAGUAAGUUGAAUGGAAUAGUUAUGUGAUAGGCGUCUGAGGCAAAACCAUUAGUACUUUAUUCAUUCAUCCAACUCAAUUCUAUAAAUGUGUCGUUUCAAACAGCGAUGAGCGGGCCAAGCAAUUCAGCAGGGUAUAGUCGCUAAGGCAACUUGAUCUGAUUAUGUCAAAUGUAGCUUUAAGCAGGUCCAGGAAAAAUACGAAUUUUCUGUUUCAUAAAUGUACAAAUUACACUUUGUUACGUCAGAGAAUGGUUCAACUCCUUAAAUAAAGUUUGGUGUCAAUCAUAUAUUGCAUGUAUAUAAAAGAGGGACUAUUUUUUUGUGUUUUUUUGUUUUUUAACUGAAAAGUGAGGAUUUGACUGCUCUGCACUCACAGGAGUAGCUAAUCAAUCAUAAAGUAGGCCCAACCUGAAAAAUACCCUACUUUACUUUUCUUUUUUAAUAAAAUAGGGACCAUAAUUUAUAAUAUCUAUAUAAUAUUGUGAAAUAUAAUGUAUAACUAGAGAUUUAGACUAUAAACUUAUCAGAAAUAAGGAAACCAAGUCAUUUGCCCAUGGUCUUCAAUGCAGCCAGACUUUUGUUAACCAGAGGAGCUGCCCACCAUUAGAAAGAAUCCAGGUUUAAGGCAAUUCCACACCAGCUUCACCUUCAUGAAAAUACGUGCAUCUUUUCUUUAGUACUAAAAAUGGUUGACGAGAUUAUUACCUCAAAGUUCCUGUGUAACACAUUUCCAUCCGAUUUGGAUUUCCCAUAAUAAAACAGGUUUAAAAAGUUAAACCAGCAACUUGGUCUGAAGAUUAUCCGUGCCACUUUUGGUGAAGGUUCAAAAAAAAUAAUUGACUGUGAAAAAAAAAAAAAAUCUUUCUGUAAAAUCGAAUCAUAUUAGGGCUUCUUCA